rnacentral:tRNA from 1 species
CAGGGAGACAAACAUCGAUUUUGAUGCCUGAGUGUUUUUAUUCUUAGGCCAGAAUCCUGUCACCUUAGGUCGAUCGGUACCUCAGUUUUGAAGCUAAGAAUCAAUCAAAAGUUGAUUGCUUGGUGAAUUAAUUCAGUUCCUAAACUUUGUCUAGGUCACACCCCACAAGGGUUGAGUUUUCCUGGGCCAUUAGCUCAGGUGGUUAGAGCGCACCCCUGAUAAGGGUGAGGUCCCUGGUUCAAGUCCAGGAUGGCCCAUUCGGUGUUGGGGGUUUAGCUCAGUUGGUAGAGCGCCUGCUUUGCAAGCAGGAUGUCAGGAGUUCGAGUCUCCUAACCUCCACUGACCGAACUCAAUCUCCAGCUCUGCUUUUUGGAGAGCCACUCGAUGAUGGUGUAUGAUUUAGAUCGUGUCCGCUGGAAAGAUCCCAGCUUCCUGUCAUUCCUUAAUGGUUGAUAAGAUGCUGGGCUCAAGCAAUUUUGGUUUCAAAAUUGUUUUUGUCUGGCAGAACCUUGACAACUGCAUAGGUGAGUCUGGAAAAAAACAAAGCAUCUCAUGGAUGCAUUGUUUUGGUCUUGAGAUCUCAGAUUUCAAGUUCCAGAAUAAUGAAAAUUCUUUUGAGCAAGAGCCGAGACUCUGAAAUGUUCUUCUAAUCGUGUCGAGCGAUUCGGAGUUUGAUCUUUUUUUCUUUUAGAAAAUUAGAAAAUCUGUCUCACACAGUAAGCAGUUCAGAGAUUAUUUG